rnacentral:rRNA from 1 species
GCUUGACUGUAGCGUUGUAAUUGGGUUCGGGCUUUUUUUGCGCAGCCAUAGGUGGGAGGCAAGCGAUGAUUUUUUUCCCGGAAAAAUUUGAGCCGUUAGUGAGAGACCACUCUGAAAAGGCUAGAAUCCUAAUAAUGAUCCUUGAAUCAGGACAUUUGACAGUUGCAGGUGGGCAGUUUUACUGGGGGCGGUUAUUCUCCUAAAAAGUAACGGAGGGGUGCAAAGGUUCCCUCAAGCUGGACGAAAUCAGCUUAAGAGUGUAAAGGCAAAAGGGAGCUUGACUGCAAGACCUACAAGUCGAGCAGGGGGCGAAAGCCGGCCUUAGUGAUCCGACGGUACCACGUGGAAGGCCGUCGCUCACGGAUAAAGUUA